GAUGAACGCUGACAGAAUGCUUAACACAUGCAAGUCAACUUGAAUUUGGGUUUUUAACUUAGAUUUGGGUGGCGGACGGGUGAGUAACGCGUAAAGAACUUGCCUCACAGCUAGGGACAACAUUUAGAAAUGAAUGCUAAUACCUGAUAUUAUGAUAAUAGGGCAUCCUAUAAUUAUGAAAGCUAUAUGCACUGUGAGAGAGCUUUGCGUCCCAUUAGCUAGUUGGAGAGGUAACAGCUCACCAAGGCGAUGAUGGGUAGCCGGCCUGAGAGGGUGAACGGCCACAAGGGGACUGAGACACGGCCCUUACUCCUACGGGAGGCAGCAGUGGGGAAUAUUGGACAAUGGACCGAGAGUCUGAUCCAGCAAUUCUGUGUGCACGAUGAAGUUUUUCGGAAUGUAAAGUGCUUUCAGUUGGGAAGAAAAAAAUGACGGUACCAACAGAAGAAGUGACGGCUAAAUACGUGCCAGCAGCCGCGGUAAUACAUAUGUCACGAGCGUUAUCCGGAUUUAUUGGGCGUAAAGCGCGUCUAGGUGGUUAUGUAAGUCUGAUGUGAAAAUGCAGGGCUCAACUCUGUAUUGCGUUGGAAACUGUAUAACUAGAGUACUGGAGAGGUAAGCGGAACUACAAGUGUAGAGGUGAAAUUCGUAGAUAUUUGUAGGAAUGCCGAUGGGGAAGCCAGCUUACUGGACAGAUACUGACGCUAAAGCGCGAAAGCGUGGGUAGCAAACAGG
rnacentral:rRNA from 1 species